CUACCAUGGCAAUAACGGGUAACGGAGAAUUAGGGUUCGAUUCCGGAGAGGGAGCCUGAGAAACGGCUACCACAUCUAAGGAUGGCAGCAGAGGCGUAAAUUACCCAAUCCUGACUCAGGGAGGUAGUGACAAGAAAUAACGAACCGUGACAUUGUUACGGGAUUGCAAUGAGCCGAUUUUUUUUCCCUUGGUGAGGAGCAAUUGGAGGGCAAGUCUGGUGCCAGCAGCCGCGGUAAUUCCAGCUCCAAUAGCAUAUAUUAAUGUUGUUGCAGUUAAAAAGCUCGUAGUUGGAUUUCUGCAGGAGUGUCAAUGUCCACCCACGUGUGAGUUGCAGCGACGCUCCUGCAUCCUUCGGUUACCUCCGCUCGGCAUUCACUUGCCGGCGGUUGGCUCCGAAUAUUUACCUUGAGAAAAUUAGAGUGUUUCAGGCAGGCUAAGCCGGAAUACAUUAGCAUGGAAUAAUAGAAUAGGACUACGGUCUCGUUGUUGGUUUGAGGGACUGGAGUAAUGAUUAAUAGGGAUAGUUGGGGGCAUUAGUAUUUAAUUGUCAGAGGUGAAAUUCUCAGAUUAACUAAAGACUAACUUAUGCGAAAGCAUUUGCCAAGGAUGUUUUCAUUAAUCAA
rnacentral:rRNA from 1 species